rnacentral:rRNA from 1 species
UAAGCAUAUCAAUAAGCGGAGGAAAAGAAACCAACAGGGAUUGCCCUAGUAACGGCGAGUGAAGCGGCAACAGCUCAAAUUUGAAAUCUGGCUUUCGGGCCCGAGUUGUAAUUUGUAGAGGAUACUUUUGAUGCGGUGCCUUCCGAGUUCCCUGGAACGGGACGCCAUAGAGGGUGAGAGCCCCGUCUGGUUGGAUGCCAAAUCUCUGUAAAGUUCCUUCGACGAGUCGAGUAGUUUGGGAAUGCUGCUCUAAAUGGGAGGUAUAUGUCUUCUAAAGCUAAAUAUUGGCCAGAGACCGAUAGCGCACAAGUAGAGUGAUCGAAAGAUGAAAAGCACUUUGAAAAGAGAGUUAAAAAGUACGUGAAAUUGUUGAAAGGGAAGCGUUUAUGACCAGACUUGGACUUGGUUAAUCAUCUGGGGUUCUCCCCAGUGCACUUUUCCAGUUCAGGCCAGCAUCAGUUUUCGCCGGGGGAUAAAGGCUUCGGGAAUGUAGCUCUCUUCGGGGAGUGUUAUAGCCCGUUGUGUAAUACCCUGGCGGAGACUGAGGUUCGCGCUUCUGCAAGGAUGCUGGCGUAAUGGUCAUCAACGACCCGUCUUGAAACACGGACCAAGGAGUCGUCUUCGUAUGCGAGUGUUCGGGUGUCAAACCCCUACGCGUAAUGAAAGUGAACGCAGGUGAGAGCUUCGGCGCAUCAUCGACCGAUCCUGAUGUUCUCGGAUGGAUUUGAGUAAGAGCAUACGGGGCCGGACCCGAAAGAAGGUGAACUAUGCCUGUAUAGGGUGAAGCCAGAGGAAACUCUGGUGGAGGCUCGCAGCGGUUCUGACGUGCAAAUCGAUCGUCAAAUAUGGGCAUGGGGGCGAAAGACUAAUCGAACCUUCUAGUAGCUGGUUUCCGCCGAA